rnacentral:rRNA from 1 species
GACGAACGCUGGCGGCGUGCCUCAAACAUGCAAGUCGAGCGGACGGAGACGAACCGCAAGGGGAGGUUGAAGUUAGCGGCGAACGGGUGAGUAACACGUGGGUAACCUACCCCUAAAGUCUGGGACAACGGCCCGAAAGGGCCGCUAAUACCGGAUAAUGUCUUCGGGUCGCAUGGCCUGGGGAAGAAAGCCGAAAGGCGCUUAUGGAUGGGCUCGCGUCCCAUCAGCUAGUUGGUAAGGUAACGGCUUACCAAGGCGACGACGGGUAGCCGGUCUGAGAGGAUGGUCGGCCACACUGGGACUGAGAUACGGCCCAGACUCCUACGGGAGGCAGCAGUUGGGAAUAUUGGGCAAUGGGCGAAAGCCUGACCCAGCGACGCCGCGUGAGGGAAGAAGGCCUUCGGGUCGUAAACCUCUGUCAUCGGGGACGAAGAAAGUGACGGUACCCGAGGAGGAAGCCCCUGCUAACUACGUG